rnacentral:lncRNA from 1 species
CUGUGUCUCCAAAGAAAUAAUUUCUCCUUCCUCAUUCAUACCUUCACCUUCUCCCAGAAUCAAAACUCUUAGAGAUUUCUCAGGGCACUUAUGAAGUGUUGGGUGCCAUUUUCCCCCACACUUAAAGCACAAACCCUUCGCCCUUCUCUCCUCACUUUCAUCGCUCUGAAAGCUUCGCACUCCCUUCCACCGUUCUGAUGAUGGAUUUCUGCGAUGGUUUUCUAUUUUUCUACCCGUCGAAGAAACUGACGCGUUCAAAUUAGGGCUGGAACCUACAGAACCCGUUUUGGAAUGUGGGCUAAAUCCACUUGAGUUAGAGAAUCGGGUCGGGUCUUUGGGGUUUGGGCUAUAUCCGCUCCGAGUUUUAGAAGAAAACCCAGCCCAAUCAUUUCGACCC